rnacentral:rRNA from 1 species
CCUACGGGAGGCAGCAGUGAGGAAUAUUGGUCAAUGGACGCAAGUCUGAACCAGCCAAGCCGCGUGAAGGAAGACGGCUCUAUGAGUUGUAAACUGCUUUUGUACGAGGGUAAACGCACAUACGCGUAUCUGUCUGACAGUAUCGUACGAAUAAGGAUCGGCUAACUCCGUGCCAGCAGCCGCGGUAAUACGGAGGAUUCAAGCGUUAUCCGGAUUUAUUGGGUUUAAAGGGUGCGUAGGCGGUCGGUUAAGUUAGUGGUGAAAUCCCGAGGCUCAACUUCGGAAUUGCCUCUGAUACUGUGCGGCUAGAGAGUAGUUGCGGUAGGCGGAAUGUAUGGUGUAGCGGUGAAAUGCUUAGAGAUCAUACAGAACACCGAUUGCGAAGGCAGCGUACCAAGGUACAUCUGACGUUGAGGCACGAAAGCGUGGGGAGCAAACAGGAUUAGAUACCCCUGUAGUC